UGAAUACGAGACGCUAAGGCGUCGAAGUAGUGUAUGUCAUACUUCCAAGAAAAGCUUGCACUGUCAUAGAUAAAAAACGCCUGUACCAUAACCGACACAGGUGGGUAGGUAGAGUAUACUAAGGGGCGCGAGAUAACUCUCUCUAAGGAACUCGGCAAAAUAACUCCGUAACUUCGGGAGAAGGAGUGCCUUAUUAUUAAGGCUGCAAUAACAAGAUCCAAGCAACUGUUUAUCAAAAACACAGGUCUCCGCUAAGUCGUAAGACGAUGUAUGGGGGCUGACGCUUGCCCAGUGCCAGAAGGUUAAAGAAGUUGGUUAGCAUUUGCGAAGCUGAUAACUGAAGCCCUGGUGAACGGCGGCCGUAACUAUAACGGUCCUAAGGUAGCGAAAUUCCUUGUCGGGUAAGUUCCGACCCGCACGAAAGGCGUAAUGAUUUGGAUACUGUCUCGGAGAGGGGCUCGGUGAAAUAGACUUGUCUGUGAAGAUGCGGACUACCUGCACCAGGACAGAAAGACCCUAUGAAGCUUUACUGUAACUUGAAAUUGAAAUUGGACUUUAUUCGCGCAGCAUAGGUGGGAGGCGUUGAUUAUAAUCUUGUGGGAUUAUUGGAGCCAUCAGUGAGAUACCACUCUUGUAAUGUUAGAUUUCUAACUUUGAAUCAUUAUCUGGUCAAAGAACAGUUUCAGGCGGGCAGUUUGACUGGGGCGUCGCCUCCUAAACGGUAACGGAGGCGUACAAAGGUUUCCUCUGAACGGUUAGAAAUCGUAUCUAGAGUGUAAAGGCAUAAGGAAGCUUGACUGUGAGACCUACAAGUCGAGCAGGGACGAAAGUCGGUCUUAGUGAUCUGACGGUACUGAGUGGAAAGGCCGUCACUCAACGGAUAAAAGUUACUCUAGGAUAACAGGCUGAUCUCCCCCAAGAGUUCACAUCGACGGGGAGGUUUGGCACCUGGAUGUCGGCUCAUCGCAUCCUGGGGCGGUAGUACGUCCCAAGGGUUGGGCUUUCGCCCAUGAAAGCGGUACGCGAGCUGGGUUCAGAACGUCGUGAGACAGUUCGGUCCAUAUCCGGUGUAGGCGUUAGAAUAUUGAGAGGAGCCUUCUUUAGUACGAGAGGACCGAGAAGGACAUACCUCUGGUGUACCAGUUAUCGUGCCAACGGUAAACGCUGGGUAGCUAUGUAUGGAGUGGAUAACCGCUGAAAGCAUCUAAGUGGGAAGCCCACCUCAAGAUAAGUAUUCU
rnacentral:rRNA from 1 species